rnacentral:lncRNA from 1 species
UUGUUUCAACUAUAUCGAUAUCUUAAACAUAGCUGAUUGCAAAAUGGCGUCGUCUGCUCAGUUUUCAAACGUGGCUGCCUGGCUGGCGAUAGCUGCACGAAAAUUGUGUCUCUUUAUAAAUUAUUCUCUUAAAAUAGUUAUUAUUUUAUACGUGCUCCAUGUUGUUUACAGCAGUCAAAUAAAAUCAAGAAUGCAUAUAGAAUGAUUGUGGAAUCUUUGAAACCCUUUUCUAAAUUCUGAGAAAUCAAAAUGCUAGUUCCCGACUAAAAUAGGCCUAGCAUUAAUCACGCCAGAGCCAGCCAUCACAACAAUGAGAUGCAAGAAUUUGUUGUGCUGGUGUUAACCUGGUGGCAGGAAUCUCAUUGUUCGGGUAAUAAUUUUCAUUACUCUUAUUCCUGGGACCUGGUACAUUUCAGAAUGAUGCAUUACUUGCACCAAUUCAGUGAAUAUAACAUGGAAACCUUCAAGCUUCAAUUCUCCUUUUGUUUAUCAGUUACCACUGUACCACUCUCGUUAACAGCAUCCUCUUGUAUUGGGGAAACUACCAAUGUUGCUUGAGUUGCUGAUAUCUUCUCCCAGUUUCAUAAAAUGUUCUCGUGUGCCCCUGUAGUGGGUGUACACAACAUAUGAGGACUCCCUUUUUCCUCUAUCCCGCCUGGUGUCUCGUCAAUUUUUCAGCAGAUGGAUGCCUGGCUGUAUAUCCCAAGUCUAAAGGUACACAUUUAUCUCUCUUCCUUUUUUGACUAUUUUUGGCGGCGUUGAUUAUGAAACUUUAGGCUUAUAUACACAGCGCAGAGUACGACUAUUCCUGA